rnacentral:rRNA from 1 species
CACGGCCAUACUGCCCUGAACGCGCCCAGUCUCAGCUGAUCUCGGAAGCCAAGCAGGGUCAAGCCCUGUUAAUACUUGGAUGCAAGAACAUCCCACGGUUAGGAUGAAAGUGUCUAACAGCGCAGGGUCUGGUGU